rnacentral:lncRNA from 1 species
AUAUUGUGCUGGUAUGCUUCUGGAAACACGGAGUCCCCUGUGCUUCUAAGUUGUUUUUGAUGUUCGGACUUUCGAAUCGACGAUCGGCUCCGUUAGAGUUGAUCUAGAGUAUUUGAAGUACCUAGAAAAUAAAUUUUGUGAUUUUACGAUUUCAUUUGCCUAGUAAUUGAAUGGCUCAAAAUCAAUAAUUUUAACGACCGUGGUGAGCCAUUUGCAAGUUUAACGGUGUAGAAAUAUCCAAAUCACAUGAAAUUUUGAUAGAAAAUUUUUUAUACCGUAUAAAACAAGAUCAAUAACUUUGAUAUAAAAUUUUAAUGUCAUAUCAUCAUAUUUUGUAAGAUUUUUUGUUUUCAGCCGUUGAUUUUGAGCCACUUCAAUCACUAGCAAAUAGAUAUCGAAAAAUCGCAAAAUUUAUUUUCUAGAUACUUCAAAUACUCUAAAUCAAGUCUAACGGAGCCGAUCGUCGAUUCGAAAGUCCAAACAUCGAAAACAACUUGAAAGCACGGAGCGCUUAGUGCUUUCAGAAGCAUACCAGACGCUUAUAUAUAUAUAUAUAUAUAUAUAUAUAUAUAUAAUAUAUAUAUAUAGUAGGGCAACUAUACUCUUAUCAGUAUUGGGCCCUUUGUACUCAUAAGUUGUUUUCGAUGAUGGAGCUUCCGAAUUGACGAUUCACUCCGUUAAAUAUGAUUUAGAGUAUUUGAAACUUUUAGAAAAUAAAUUUCGUAAUUUUUUAAAAUCAUAAUAAAAAUCAUAGCGGGCAUAAAAUGAACGGUCAAAAUCGAACGACGUCCUAAAAAUGGAUGAUUGGAUCCUUCAAUUUAAGAUCGGAGUUAUUGAUAUUUAUCUAGGUAGCGAAUAGAAUUUUCUAUCAAAACUUCAAUCUAUUCCGAUUCAUUUACACCGUUAAACUAGCAAGUAUCCAUACCGGCCAUUAAAAAUUGUCAAUUUUGUGAGCUUUUGAUCGUAAGGCAAAUGAUGUCGAAAAAUUAUGAAAUUUGAUUUCUAGAAGUUUUAAAUGCUCUAGAUAAUGUUUAACGGUAUGGAUCGUCGAUUUAGAAGCUCUAUCAUCGAAAACAACUUAUGAGCACG